GUAGGUGAACCUGCGGAAGGAUCAUUAACAAGUUCUCUGGGCCAUCCAAACCAGAUGCCCAGCAACUUCCAAUCUUGUUAACAAGCAUAUAACAUAGAAUUCUCUGGUAGAGCGUUGGGUCCCAAACCUACCUUAGGCAAUGGUUUAGUCCCUGCCUGAGAGAUAUCUGCCAGAGAGCCCUCUUUAGAUCCUAUCUAGAACUGAAUGAUGACCAAUAUCAAAUAAAACUUUCAACAACAGAUCUCUUGGU
rnacentral:misc_RNA from 1 species